rnacentral:tmRNA from 1 species
GGGGGCGUAAAGGUUUCGACAGGGUUGUUCGGUGAUACAGCAAGCGAGCCGCGGUUCCGGACCCGCGUAAAAAAACCGGGCGUAAAUAUAAACGCUAAUAAUAGAACAAAUUUAGUAGCUGCUUAAGGCAGCUUCCGCCGGCUCCCGCUUCCUGCGGGCGGGAUAUCCGGCGCCGUAAUCGCAGGGAACGUCAGCUGCUUAAGCUUUGCGGCAGCGAUGUAGAAUGAAGCUACCCCUCAGGCAAGCCUGCCUUUGUGCGAGCCUUUCAGGGGGAAUCUUUCAUCAAAGGCUACGCUCGUAGAAAACGGUAUUUCCGCUUCUUUGGACAGGGGUUCGACUCCCCUCGCCUCCACCA